AAAUGGCUGCUUCACCUCUGUGGGGCAACUGAUCCACAUUGAAAUGAUGGGUGGUGUCAAUGAUGAAGUCACUCUCUCUGCUUACAUCACCGCAGCGCUGCUGGAGUUAGGCGUGCAGAUUUCUGAUCCCAUGGUGGCUAGAAGCCUUGUAUGUCUGAAGGAAGCUUCACGUAACAUUACCAACACCUAUGUGAAUGCCUUGUUGUCCUAUACAUUCACACUUGCUGGAGAUGGAGAAAUGAGACUGAACCUCCUGUCCAAGCUGGACAAUCAGGCCAGGAGAGAAGGUGCUGGACGAUACUGGUCUCUGGUCAACAAUGCUCAACAAACAAGCUCUGUGGAGGUUGAAAUGACUGCCUACGUUUUGCUGGCUCUUCUCUCGGGACCCUCACUGCCUAGAUUUGGUCUCAACUAUUCAGCUGGAAUAGUGCAGUGGCUGGGCAGACAGCAGAACGCCUUCGGGGGCUUCUCCUCCACACAGGAUACUGUAGUAGCGCUCCAGGCCCUGGCUAAGUACAGCGCUGCCGUCUUCAAUCCAGAAGGAUCCAUCGCCGUGACCGUGACCUCCCCAUCAGGACAGAGAAACCAGUUCACUGUGAACCGCAAUAACCGGCUGCUUUACCAGGAGAAACAGCUGACGGAAACUACUGGAACAUACAAGCUCAGGGCAGAAGGCAAAGGAUGUGUGUUUGUGCAGUUUGCCUUGAACUACAACAUCCCCCCUCCUCCUGAUGCGUUGGCCUUCAACAUUAAAACAAAUACAGGAGUCUGCAGCAAAAACCAAGCUUUUACAUUAAACGUCACUGUCCGGUAUGAUGGCAAACGAGAGGAGACCAACAUGGUGAUCAUUAACGUCAGGCUGCUGUCUGGGUUUAAGCUGGAUGAGGCGUCUCUGCAGGCCCUGAAGGAAGACCCCACCGUCAAACGUGUGGAUCUGGAUGAGGAUCGUGUCAUUGUCUAUUUGGAGAGU
rnacentral:lncRNA from 1 species